GACGGGACCCGCACAAGCGGUGGAUGAUGUGGUUUAAUUCGAUGCAACGCGAAAACCUUACCCACCUUUGACAUGUACGGAAUCCUUUAGAGAUAGAGGAGUGCUCGAAAGAGAGCCGUAACACAGGUGCUGCAUGGCUGUCGUCAGCUCGUGUCGUGAGAUGUUGGGUUAAGUCCCGCAACGAGCGCAACCCUUGUCAUUAGUUGCUACAUUUAGUUGGGCACUCUAAUGAGACUGCCGGUGACAAACCGGAGGAAGGUGGGGAUGACGUCAAGUCCUCAUGGCCCUUAUAGGUAGGGCUACACACGUCAUACAAUGGAUGGUACAAAGGGUCGCCAACCCGCGAGGGGGAGCCAAUCCCAUAAAACCAUUCGUAGUCCGGAUCGCAGUCUGCAACUCGACUGCGUGAAGUCGGAAUCGCUAGUAAUCGUGGAUCAGAAUGUCACGGUGAAUACGUUCCCGGGUCUU
rnacentral:rRNA from 1 species